GGGAAAGUAGCUCAGUGGCAGAACAUCUGCUUUGCAUGCAGAAGGCCACAGGUUCAACCCCCAGCAUCUCCA